UAACCAACCCGGGCACUUUGCAAGGAACUGCCCCGAAAAAAGGAUUCCUACAGCGACAGUUGGUGCACCAAAGUUCCAGGAAUAGAACACAGGAAAGACCCAGUAACAAAACAGAUACAGACAUAGAUGAAAUCAAUGGAAACAAUUUGAGUGUUAUGCCAAUGAUUCGAGAUUUGCCAGUAUCAUACGAGAUUUACCCUCUUUUGUCGAAUCGUCUAGAUCAAAUUCUACAAUUAAGAAAUAAAAGUGCUAUUUUAAAAAGUUUGAAAAAUGGUGUGUUUCAUGUUCACUUGAGUGUUUACCAGCGACAACUACUACGAUUUCUAUGUAUAUAGGUGGACUCAUUCAACAGGGAUCCAGUGUUGCGAUUUUAGAUGCAAGUUUUUAUUCAAUAAAAUGGUUUCAUGACUUUAAUUUCAAACAUAAUCCUUGUUCAGACAAUUUCCUUGGUCUUAUUUAUGAAGGAGGAAGGAGAUUGCUAAGUAAACCUAUAAAAAAAAAAAAAAAAAGAA